UGCAGUCGAGCGGUAACAGAUCUAGCUUGCUAGAUGCUGACGAGCGGCGGACGGGUGAGUAACGCGUAGGAAACUGCCGAGUAGUGGGGGAUAGCCCAGAGAAAUUUGGAUUAAUACCGCAUACGCCCUACGGGGGAAAGGAGGGGAUCUUCGGACCUUUCGCUAUUCGAUGUGCCUGCGUGAGAUUAGCUUGUUGGUGAGGUAAAGGCUCACCAAGGCGACGAUCUCUAGCUGGUUUGAGAGGAUGAUCAGCCACACUGGGACUGAGACACGGCCCAGACUCCUACGGGAGGCAGCAGUGGGGAAUAUUGCACAAUGGGGGAAACCCUGAUGCAGCCAUGCCGCGUGUGUGAAGAAGGCCUUCCGGUUGUAAAGCACUUUCAGCAGUGAGGAAAGGUUGUAAGUUAAUACCUUGCAGCUAUGACGUUAACUGCAGAAGAAGGACCGGCUAACUCCGUGCCAGCAGCCGCGGUAAUACGGAGGGUCCGAGCGUUAAUCGGAAUUACUGGGCGUAAAGCGCGCGUAGGCGGCUAGGUCAGUCAGAUGUGAAAGCCCCGGGCUUAACCUGGGAAUUGCAUCUGAUACUGCUUGGCUAGAGUACAGAAGAGGGUGGUGGAAUUUCCUGUG
rnacentral:rRNA from 1 species